UACAGAGGUCUCAGGCGUUGUUCGGAUUCAUUGGGCGUAAAGGGCGCGUAGGCGGCGGGGUAAGUCGGGUGUGAAAUACUCAGAGCUCAACUCUGAAAUGGACACUUGAUACUGCUCUGCUAGAGGACUGGAGAGGAGAUUGGAAUUCACGGUGUAGCAGAUGAAAUGCGUUAGAUAUCGUGAGGAAGACCGGGUGGCGAAGGCGGAUCUCUGGACAGUUCCUGACGCUGAGGCGCGAAGGCCAGGGGAGCAAACGGGG
rnacentral:rRNA from 1 species